UUCCUCCUUACUUUCUUCCCCAGCUGAAAAGAAAACCUGAGUGGGCCAGUUCUGCUCCUCCAGUAUUUAAACACCUCACCAGGUCCCUAGUUAGCAGCUUCCUUCAGCUCAUCCAAGAAGCUGACAAGUACUGUUAGAGGAGGCUGUACAUGUUGCUCUAAUGGACCUCAUUAAGUUCUACUUACAGAUGUUCUCUUAACAUAAUUGAUCUGCGAUGAAAACUUUAAGGAACAAUGAAGGAGAGAGGUACUGCUCUGAAACGGAGUGAAACGUGGAGCUGCAGUGAGCUGUUUGCUGGAGAUUUGAAAGCUACAGCAGAAAAAGCCCAAGGCCAUCAGACAAACAAAGUUUGGGAGAGCACGCAUGCAUCCUGAAUCUGGUACCACCUCCCAGCCGCUCCAGCCGGCGGUCCCCUGCCUCUACCCGCUCCCUGGCCUGCCACAGCUAACGGUCCCCAUGUCACGCAUAGGCUUCUGUGGCAGGCGUUGGUGUGCUGAGCGCUGUGCCUUGUGUUCAGCACUCACACCGUGCUUCUCGGGGCCAUUUUGCAGGGACCCUUUCCUCCUCCCAGCCUGCCAGAAUGAAUCCCCUCUGGUGGGAGGACCGGUGAAAAGAUUCAGUGGCUCGCUGGCUUGUUUUCACUGCUACGUAGGAUAAGGAAGACAGGCAACAUAGUGGUGUUGGUGAUACAGGCUGUUGUCAGUAAAACACAAGCAGACCCUUCAGACAUCUGGAUGUGCCUAAUCCUCCAGCUUCAAGGGGACCUGCUUGCAGGAACCAAGGCAGCAGCUUGGCCACGGCGCUUGACGAGCGAGUGGCGUCGGUGGGAUUUUGAGUUGUGAAAACGCUACUGUAGCAGCCGUAUUGAUUUUGGGGUCCAGUCCUACUCGUCCUGAGGUAAGCAAUCCUCCUUCACUCAGCACUCAGAGUGAGGUCAGUGGGACUGGUUGUCCAAACGAGAAUUACUCACACAAGCAAGGGUUGCAAGGCAGCAACAUGAAAUCAAUACGGCAGUGGCAUUUCCUCACGCUGGCGGCCGAGCCAAUGGAUUUUACACACCUCUCACCUUUACUCUUCCAAGUAAGGGCUAGAGAGAGGAACUACCUGCAGAAAUAAACAGUUGUGGAAAGCAA